rnacentral:rRNA from 1 species
UACGGAGGGAGCUAGCGUUGUUCGGAAUUACUGGGCAUAAAGCGCACGUAGGCGGCUUUGUAAGUUAGAGGUGAAAGCCCGGAGCUCAACUCCGGAAUAGCCUUUAAGACUGCAUCGCUUGAAUCCGGGAGAGGUGAGUGGAAUUCCGAGUGUAGAGGUGAAAUUCGUAGAUAUUCGGAAGAACACCAGUGGCGAAGGCGGCUCACUGGACCGGUAUUGACGCUGAGGUGCGAAAGCGUGGGGAGCAAACAGG